GCUGGGUGUGGUGGCCCAUGCCUGUAAUCCCAGCAGCUCAGGAGGCUGAGGCAGGAGGAUUUAGAGUUCAAAACCAGCCUCAGCAACUUAAUGCUCUCAGCAAUUUAGCAAGGUCCUAAGCAACUCAGAAAGACCCUGUCUCUA
rnacentral:sRNA from 1 species